CACACACAGUCUGGUCAUGCCAAGCAGCCAGAUGAACACACUGCUACACAGAGCAGCAUACACCAGGGGCCACACCAGUGGGUGGUACAGAGAAAUUUGUGUUGAGAUUGGAGGUGAGAAGGUGCAGGGAAGAAGGAUCUCCUCAAGGUGGUGUUGCAUCCAUCCCCUCUGCUGACAAUGCCCUCAAGUUCCUCUGCUUGGCCAACUCUCCACUCUGCUCAGGUCUCUCCUCCUUCAGGAAACCUUCCCUGAUUGCCUCCCUACUCUCCAGGCUGUUUAUCAGGCUGUGUCCCAUUGUUUGGGCUCUUAGUGCCUUGAAUCAUAUUAGUCUGUAUAAGUCCCUGACUUCUCCCUUGGAAUGUGAGGUCUGGGGGUGCUGGCACUCCGUCUUCCUUAUCUCAGGGUCCCCAUUGCCCAGCAUUGGACCAGGAAGACCACAGUGUCAGGGGGCCAGCAGGGGUUGUGGAACUGCACAGACAGGAAGGGGUCAGCAGAGCCAAAGGAAAGGGAGAAGGUCAGGCUUGUGGGUGGUGACAGGUGCCUGUCUGCUUGGAGGUUUGCUUUUAAACAGGUUUGCUUGGAGCUGAGGGUCCCUACAGGAGCAAGGUGGCAGGUGGCUCUGGAGAGGUGGCUUGUCCCCAUCCCAGUCCUCACAGCCAUGAAUGCUGUGUUUGCAGGAACUCUGGGGAGAGUGCCGUGGCUUCUCCCACAUUUCUUCAAAUAAAAUCUGGGCCCAAAUGCCCCUAGGCAGCUCUUCUCUGCAGAAUUGCCCUGUGUGUUUGUUUUGCCACCGUGGGCUGAGCUGACUGCAAGGGCUCAGAACACAGCCCAGGCAGACGCUGGGUGUGCAAGGGCAGGGCAUGUUUGUGUAUGGUUAGGGGACAAACACAACCUGAUAUCACGGUCAGAGCUGAGCUGUUGGCUUUAAUUCUGCAUUUCUUGCUCCUGAGGCUUUGAAAAACAAAGCACGCUUGGGGCGGGCUCACUUGGGGAAAAGACGGGAGCUCUGGUCUUAUCCUGAAGCAUCACAGUCUGCUCAGAGGAGAGUUAUGGACUCUUCCAAUGCUGGCUGGUCUUGAACUCCUGACCUCAUGAUCUGCCUGCCUCGACCUCCCAAAGUGCUGGGAUUACAGGUGUUAGUCACCAUGCCUGGCCGAGAAAAGAAGAUUUAAGAAAGGAAGCUAGAAGUUGUUCAUCGAAGGGAAGAGAAUCAGGAAAUGGUAAAAGUCACAGAUAUUAAGCAGAAAGUACUCAUUCCCUAAAGCCAGGAUUGAACCCUGGCCACCACUGUAAAAUGGUGGAGACCAAAAGAAAGGACUGCCACGUGGUUACAAGGUCAAGCUGCCAAGGACAUAAGACAAGAUGGAGACCUGCAGCACAGUUCGUUACUGACCAGUUUGCGGGGCUGGCUUGAACAGUGGGCUCAUGGGGUACUAGGCCAUGCUCUAUCCUCAGGUAUUCCUCCUUAUGACAGAACCAUGCAGAAAGACACACAAAGUACACCAGAUUGGCUGCAGCUUAAGAUUAGCCUCACAAAUCCUUUUUUUCCAUGCAUCAAAAUCUUACAGAGGAUAUAAACAGUGAUUUUCUCAUUCAUUCAACUGGUUUGCACAGGGAGAGGGAGACCAGAAGUCUGACUGGGCUUCAGUCUGAAGCUUGGAAUUGAGUUUGAGACAAAAAGCUGCCUCAGGAGGGUUUAUGGACUCAUCAAGUCCCAGGUGGUCCUCACCAGACUGCAGCCAGCAGCCAACAGCCAACAGGGUCGCUCCUCUGCUGCUUCCUUAUGUAAGUCAAAUGCUAAAGUAAAGCUGUAGAGCUGGGUCAUCCUCAAACAAGGGAGAGAAAAGGGAGUUCUGUGAUUUUGGGUCCUGGCCUAGUAAAAUGCCUUUCAAAAGGAAAAAAAAAAAAAAAAAAAAAAAACCUCACAUAGAAAAGCUUCCUGUAUUCGCAGGGCUGUGUUAACUACCGACAUGUUGGAGAAAAGAAAAAAAAAAAAACAGCUUAAGUGCAGGGCAGGGAAGGUGCCUGGGGGGAAAAAACUUCUUGCUCUAUGCAAAUGGGUUCCUCCAAAGGGGAGAGAUUCUUAGUCACUGGACCCUCCUUCUCGUUCAGACUGAGCCAUGAGAGGAAAGAUUCAAUGGGUGUGUGGUGGGAGGGGGCGGUGGGCAGAAAAUGCUGACCAGCUGGCUGUGCAGGGCCCCUGGCACCUAAGAUUUCCCUGGGUCCCAGGCAGCAGACACGGCUCACUCCUGCCCUGCGUGGCUGUUGGAUGCAGCACAGGCAUGCGUUGGACACAGCCACAUGCCCCAGCCAGGAGGGGAGGGGGGAGCGGGUAGCUGCGGUGCACCCAUUUGUCCACCAUGUGUGCUUGUGGCUGUUGGGAUGGGGGUAGGGGACGUGCCUCUAAGAACAGAUGAAAAUCACAUUGUUCUGAAUUGCAUAUCUGAUGGCUAGGCCAAAUGCUCAUUCUACCUGGUAAUAUUUCUGCAGUUUGCAACAACACACUUAAUGCUGUAAAAGAAGAGAUAGGAGCCACUUCAAACCAUGAAAGAAGAAAAGAAAAAUACCAUAGAAAAGUCUGCGGGUCUUGGCUGAUGCCAUAAUGGGGUGGUCAGGGGUGGAGCCAAGUCUAGGGGCCUCCUGGCAAUUAAGUCCUCGGCCAGAUGCCUUCAGUUGCCCCAGGACCUUAUUCUGGUUCCACGUGAUGGCUAGACCUCCAUGAAGGGAAACAAAGCCAACAUCUCUUUGACCUGAAAGAGAGAGAGAGGUGGCAGGGUUGUAUCCUGUCCUCUGUAACUGCGUCAUUCAUUCUUAAUUGGCUCACCAGAGGUUUGGUGCUUCAUCUGCCUUCAGAAAAAAGUCUGAGGAUGAGAAGCCUCAGAAACAAAGGUGAAAGAGGGUUUGGGACCACAUUUACUCACCCUCCAGGUAUCCCCAUAUGAGCCACCAAAAUGUUGCAGUCUUUCUGCUCCUCAGCUCAGCUAGGCCUGAGUUUUUGUCUCACAACCAGGAAGAAUUAGGUGUGCAGCUACUGGAGAGUGAGUGGAGUGAAUUCAUUAAGCAAAAGGAAAGCUGUCAGCAAAGAGUGGACCCAGGGGUGGUUCCCCUAUCCGAAGGUGGGAAAGGCCCCCCAUGUGAUUGGGUCUGGGGUCUUUUAUGGACUCAGAAUGGGAAGUGCAUGCUGAUUGGUUUGUGAGUAGGCAAAAAAGGUCAAAGUGAAGACACCACUCAAAGGUGGGCAUGGCAGUGUAGAAAACCAAUUAGGAAAGGGUAGGUCUAUGUAAAAUAGGUGAAGGGUGGGGAUCAAUCAGAGGAAAGUGCAACAAAUGGGAAGACAAGUUUGCAAACUGGUCCGAGGAUUUGACUUGUAGCUUUAGGCUUUAAACUGUCUUCGGCUUGAAGAUGGGGUUUCACCAGUGACCUGCCCCUGUCUGCCUAGGCAUUUGGCUGCCUUCUGCUGCUCUCAGCAGCAACCAUGUGGGGAUAGAGAGAGAGCCUUCCUUCUGUAUGUGCAGGUCCCUGAGUGCAGAGACAGUGAUGACUCCACACAGGCAAAGGCAGGAGAUGCUGGCCUGGAAGUAUCUGCAGAAGGCUCUCCCCUUGGCAUCAGGGGGUGCAGAGACGUUGGCUGAACCAAGAGCUUGCUGAAGGAAGUUUUUUCUAUAUUCCAGACAUCUGAGGGUUCAUCACCAAGAGAGGAGGCCUUGUGAGCAGUGCUGAUCUGGGAAGAAGGAAAUAUGGGCAGAGACAGAGAGGUCAGGGUGACAGCAGGAGCCCAGGGGACUGAGGGAAAAAAAUCACAUUAUUUAGGAGAAGGCAGAGGAGUUGAAGAGAUAGGUUUGGAGCUGACAACUUGGGUUGAAUGCUGCAAGAAAGAGGACUGUUCAUGUAAUUCAGAGUCAAAUACUUAGAGAGGACAGUGGACCAGCAUGAAGGCAGUGGGCUCCCCGGGAGAGGUGUUCCUGCCUGGAUUUAGAGCUUGUGGCUAAAUGAAUAUGGUAGGCAAAAUAAGGCCCCCAAAGAUAGCCACAUGCUAAUUCCUCAAACCUGUGAUCACGUAACCCUAUGUGGCAAAGGGGAUUUGGCAUAUGUGGUUCAAUGAAGGACCUUGAGAUGGGGAGAUUAUCCUAAAGUGUCCAGAUGGGCCCAAUCUAAUCACAUGAAUUGUUUAAAUCAGAGAAACUUUCCCAACUGUGGUCAGAGGGAGACGUGAUCACACACACAAAAAAAGUCAGAGAGAUGCUGGCUUUGAAGACGGAGGAAGGGGCCACAGGGAAUGGAGUGUGGGCAGCCUCUAGAAGCUGAAAAAAAAUCAUGAGGAAAUGGAUUUUUCCCGAGAGCCUUCAGAAAGGGGUGCAGCCUGUGACACUUUGACUUUAGUCCAGUCAGACCUGGCUAAAACUCUGACCUACAGCACUGCAAGGAGUUGGUGGGGUUGGUUUUUUGUUGUUGUUGUUUGUUUUUUUCGUUUUUGUUUUUGAGACAGAGUCUCGCUCUGACACCCAAGCUGGAGUGCAGUGGUGCGAUCUUGGCUCACUGCAACCUCUGCUUCCUGGGUUCAAGCAAUUCUCCUGCCUCAGCCUCCUGAGCAGCCUCCUGAGCAGAUUACAGGCAUGUGCCACCGUGCCCAGCUAAUUUUUUAGAUACCCAGCUAACUUUAAUAGAUACCAGGUUUCACCAUGUUGGCCAGGCUGUCCUUGAACUCCUGACCUCAAAUGAUUUGCCCACCUUGGCCUCCCAAAUGAUCUGCCCACCUUGGCCUCCCAAAGUGCUGAGAUUACAGGCAUGAGCCAUUGUGCCUGGCCUGUGUUAUUUUUAAGUCACCAUCUUUGUAGUGAUUCGUAACAGCAGCAACAGGAAACUCUUCUCUCCACCCACACCCUGCCCUGGCCACCAGCUCCGCCUCCCCAGUGUCUCUGUCCCCACUGCUUCUACCCAGACCAGCUCCUCCCUUCCUCUUUUCUGAACCACUGGCAUACCUACAGCUGGGCCACCUGCUUAGUGCUGCUCCCCUUUAGUCCACUCUGCUAGGUGCUUGAGUUAUCUUCCAAAAACCCAACUUAGAUGAGGACAAUUUCUACUGAAUACUGGUUUUAGUUUCUGUUACUUAAGGAGGUGUGUCCAGAUGUCCCAACUUGGCAUUCAAGCCACAGCUUCCUUCUUGGUCUUCUCUGCCGCUCUCCUUCUUGCCAUGUGCCAGGCAAACAUGUCUCCACACCAGUUCUCUGUGUCCUCCCUCUCCUUCACCACCUCUCCAGCGUUUCCCAUGUCGCCUGGACUGCCUUUCAUCCUCCCUAGUCUAGACAUGCUCAAGGGAUAUUGCUGCUCUUAAGUCACCCCUGCUGGGUAAUAAGAUCUAAAAUUACCCUCUAUAAGACUGCUCACAGCGUCAAGUGGCAUUUUCUGGGGUGAGAAGACCUCAUUCUAUCUUGUUUGCUGACUGCUUUACCAUCUGGCCUCCCCCAGUCCAUGCUAACUCUUCAGGACAGGAAUGGGUCUUGCUUUUCUACAUAUUUCCUUGAGAAAUGCCAGUGGAGAGUGUGCCUUAGUCUGUUCCAGCUGCUGUAACAAAUUGUGAUAGACUGGGUGGCUUAAACAACACAAAUGUAUUUAUCACAUACUGAAGGCUAGAAGUCUGUGAUCAGGGUGCCAGCAUGGUCAGGUUCUGGUGAGAUCCCUCUUCCUGGUUUGCAGAUGGCUGUUUUCUUGCAGUGUUCUCACAUGGGGGAGAGCAGAGACAGGAAGCUCUUGUAUCUCUCUCUCUUUUAUUUUUUUUCACCGAAUCUCACUCAGUCACCCAUGCUGGAGUGCAGUGGUGCGAUCUCAGCCCAAUGCAACCUCUGCCUCCUGGGUUCAAGUGAUUCUCAUGCCUCAGCCUCAUGAGUAGCUGGGACUACAAGCAUACACCACUGCAUCCAACUAAUUUUUGUAUUUUUCCUAGAGACGGGGUUUCACCAUGUUGGCCAGGCUUGUCUCGAACUCCUGACCUCAAGUGAUCCACCUGCCUCAGCCUCCUAAAGUGCUGGGAAUACAGGCAUGAGCCACCGUGCCUAGCCUCUUGUAUCUCUUCUAAGAGCACUAAUCCCAUUCAUGAGGGCUUCACCUUCAUGACCUAAUUCACCUCCUAAAGACUUCACCUCGGCCGGGCACAGUGGCUCAUGCCUGUAAUCCCAGCACUUUGGGGGGCUGAAGUGGGUGGAUCACGAUGUCAGGAGUUCAAGACCAGCCUGGCCAACAUGGCGAAACCCCGUCUCUACUAAAAAUACACUAAUUAGCCAGGCCACGCUACUUGGGAAGCUGAGGCAGGAGAAUUGCUUGAAACCAGAAGGCAGAGGUUGCAGUGAGCCGAGAUCACGCCACUGUGCUCCAGCCUAGGCAACAAGAGCAAAACUCCAUCUCAAAAAAAAAAAAAAAAAAAAACUUCACCUCUUAACACCAUCACAUCAGGGGUUAGGAUCUCAACAUAAAUUUGAGGGGAACAAACAUUCAUUCAGUAGGUAACAGAGGGUGAGCUUAAGUAGCUCAUAGAAAGAGGCAGAGUGGUGGAGACAUCUAAGACCUUUGGAAAAUAAUCCCAAUGGCUACUUUCUACUGCACUUGACAGUUGUCUAAUCAUGUACAAAUCUAUGAGCACAUUUGUGUCUCUCAAGCUGGUUUUACCAAGAAUCUUUAAAUCCAACUGCUGACAUUUACUAAGCACUUGGACUUUAAAACAAACCCCAGGAGGCAGGGAAAAUGCCAAAAGUUUCCCUACAGCUCACUAAAGGGAAGCAAAAAUAAAUUAGAAAAAAAAAAUUAAAAAGGAAGUUGUCAUUCAAAGUUGUCAUUCUCACAAAUGUCAGCUGGUGGAACUGCUACACACAAAUUACACUGUUAACUCCUCACCGUCAGCCUCCGAGACCAUGAUCAUUCUCCCUCCUGAAACAAUGAAAGCAUGGCUUUGAGAAGAGGCGUACCACCUGAGGUUCUGUGGCCAGGACAUGGCAGACUGGGACUAGAGCUGGACAUUUUGCCCCAAGGUGAUGGAUCCCAUCCUGAGCCUUAUACACUUGAGGAAUUUUCUCUACCUUCCUCACACAGAAGCCACUUGCUCACUUGUGUUCCAUCUUGUGUGCUUGAGCUGACAUGUGCAUACACCACCUGUUAUGGGCUGAAGUGUGUCCCUGCCCCAAAUUUAGAUGUUGAAGUCCUCACUCUCAGCACCUUAGAACCUAACCAUGUUUGAAGAAAAAAUCUUCUGAGAGGUAAUUAAGCUACAAUGAAGGCUUCAGGGUGGGCCUUAAUCCAAUGUGACUGGUGUGCUUAUAAGAAGAGGAAAUUUGGACCCAUGGAAAGACAACAGAAGCAUACACAGACAGAGGGACACCGCGUGAAGACACUGUGAAAAGGUGGCCAUCUGCAAGCCAUGGGGAGAAGCCUUGAGAGAAACUAGCCCUGCCAAUGCCUUGAUUUUGGACUGCUAGCCUCUAUAACUGUGAGAAAAUAAAUCUCUGUUGUUUAAGCCACUCUAUCUGUG
rnacentral:lncRNA from 1 species